GGCUAUGGAAGUCUCUUGAGUUCACCAACUCUGAACUUAUUUAGUCAAGGCCAUAUCAUAGUGGAGGUUCCUUCCUCCCUUCAGAGAAAGGUGCCUCUUCUUUGAUGGCCCAUUCUUUCUGUUGGGAAACCUGUUGAAGUGAAAUGGACACUAUGAGAAACAAUGACUAGAUCAGCCAUAGUCUUGACUAUUGAGGAAAAACUAUUUUAUUCCUUUUAGUAUUUUUUUGUUCUAAUUAAUACCAUUAGUUUAACUCUGCAAUUAAUACACAAUUAAUCUUAAAUAUAAGAGUGGGAAUAAGAGAGGGAGGAGAUAUACAGGUCGGCACAUGCUCACUCGGACUUACCUCCAAUGGCAGAGCUAGAAAUGUGCCAGGGGAUUCCAAUUCAAUCUCAUCAAGGAGAGUAAUAGAAAUCUGAGUCUUUACAGGAAGCUAUGGGAGAUGAAGUAUUGACAACAGGAAGGUCAAAGUGUGGCUAAAGAGGCUUCACAUUAAGAGUCUGGCUCCCUCCAGGAAACACUCCUGAGCUAGCAAACAACCAAACUUCCCAGGAAAUCCCUGCAUUCUGAAGAUGAGCAUCACAGUUGUGGCCAGGACCAAAGACCUCUUUCUCUAAGCUUCCUAGUGUUUGAGGACAAGCACCAAGUUCACUUGCAAAGAAAUGCCUCUAGACUCAGGUUGGGCCAGUUGCAUAAUGCUGUGUAUUCGCCUCUACACUGAUCUUGCCACUCAGCACAACAACAGAGACAGUUUUCAAAAUUAAAGACAAGCAACAUCAGCACUCUGUUCAUAGCUCCAUAGUUCUUCACUGUUCUUCUAUUUUUCUUAAAUAAAAUUAAGAUAUUAAUUAAGAUAAAAUUAAGGUAUUUUAGAUUUGAUGACAUAAAUAGGAUGAAAUUAAAUGUCUCAAAAAUUUAUGCUGUGUUAAGAGUAAUAAGAAAGGGCUGGAAUGUCUCUUAAAUACACCUUAAGAAAAUUUUUAUAGAAAAAAAAUUUAAAUAUUUUAUUUAUUUAUUUGAGAGGUAGAGUUACAGAGAGAGGGAGAGACAGAGAGAGAGGUCUUCCAUCCACUAGUUCACUCUCCAAAUGGCUGCAUCGGCCAGAGCUGGGCUGAUCCAGAGCCAGGAGCCAGGAGCUUCUUCCAGGUCUCCUAUGCAGGUGCAGGGGCCCAAGCACUUGGGCCAUCUUCAACUGCUAUCCCAGGUCAUAGCAGAGAGCUAGAUCAGAAGAUGAGAAGCCAGACUUGAACUGGUGCCCAUAUGGGAUGCCAGCACUGCAGGCAGUGGCUUUACUCGCUAUGCCACAGCACUGGCCCUCAUUGGGGAAUUGUAUAAUGAUGCAAGCAUCAAUUAUAAAGAUAUAUAUGGAGGCCAGCACUGUGGCAUACCAAGUAAAGCUGUUGCCUUUAGUUCUAGCAUCCCAUACGGGUGCUGGUUCGAGUCCUGGCUACUCCGCUUCUGAUCUAUCUCUCUGCUAUGGCCUGGAAAAGCAGUAGGAGAUGGCACAAGUCCUUGGGGUCCUGUACAGACGUGGGAGACCUGGAAGAAGCUCCUGGCUCCUGGGUUCAGAUUGGCCCAGCUCCAACCAUUGCGGCCAUUUGGGGAGUGACCCAGCAGAUGGAAGAUCUCUCUCUCUCUCUGCCUCUGCCUCUCUGUAACUCUGCUUUUCAAAUAAAUAAAUAAAUCUUUUAAAAAGAUUAUAUAUAUGUUUUAUGUACAUAUGCAUAUAUAUACACAUUGUGUGUGUGUGUGUGUGUAAAUUGUAUAUAUAUGGUUAUCUAAAACAAAACUUCAAAAUUAGUGAAGCAAGGGCUAAUUUAUUUGAAAGGCGAAAUGGACAACUUAACAACAAUAAUUGAAAUCUUCACUAUUCCACAUACAAUAAUAUAUAGAAUCACAGUCUUAGAUCAACAGGGAAACAAGCAAAUGAAGAACACCACAAGCUAAUUAGAUUUAGCAGACAUUUAUAAUAAACGCUGCCCAAUCUACAGAUAUUUUUUACAUAUAUCAUCACUUAAAAAUCAUCAACAUAUCUAUUUUCAUGUAAAGGACAUAAUGUACAAACAGUUUGGGAUUUUCAAAAGCAUAUAUUUUACUUCACAUAAUUAAAAAUUUAGUCAAUGAUGAUUAUGAGCAAAAACGAAUCUGUGAGUAUUAAAGUCAUAUUUGGAUAGUAGCUACUAUAGGAUAGUCUUCUUUGUCAGCGAAGAGCUAGGAUAGGUGACUAUUUUAUAAACCACAGAAAAUACUGAAACAACAAAGUGCUGAUAUAGAAUUGAUGAAUAAUAGGCUCAGACUUCAGAAUAGCAAAAUAUAAAUGUAAAACACAUUGCAUUGAGAAUAAUAAUGCAUGCAGUUAAGCUUUUGUCUUUGAAGCUCUCAGUGUAAUAAAGUUUCUUUUACAAUGUGGCGUGGUCAGUGUUGCCCUGGAUACAAAUUAGUUGAGGUGAUUCAACUACUGGAUACAUAGGUACAGAUUGGAUUUGUUUAUUCUCUUUAACUAUACACUUUUGUUGUACUUCAAUGUGAACUAUUUAUAGUAGAGCUCAAAAAAAUAAAUAAUACCCUAAUAUGGUAGGAAAAUAUAUGUAGAUAAUCAUAAUCCAGCAUGAACUAUGUUAAAUACUUUAAGAAACAAAGUAUCACAGCUAUACAAAGAGAAUAUUGACAGAAACUGAUUCCAUCAUUGAAGAUACAGUGUACCUCUAAAUCUAACAUAAUAAAAACAAACUUUUUCUGGGAAUGAUAUAUGCAUUAUGUUAGUGCUUAG